CUUUACCCCUUUCCCCCAACCCUCAGCCCCCUUUCCCUCUGGUAACCACUAACUUGUUCUUUUUAUCCAUGUAUUCAUUUACCUUCCACAUAGAAGUGAAUGUUAUUAUACAGAGUGAGGAAAGAGCUGA